AAUGAAUUAAGCGUUACAAGUGAGCUCUGACCGGUAAGCGGUCAUGGCGAAAUGGGAUGAACCAUACUUCUGAAUAAGGUGCCGAAAUGUACUAUCACUGAUACCAUAAAGAGAGUCCAUGUAUUUAGACAGCAGGUCGGUGCCCCUAAAAGCAGGUAUCCGCUAAAGAGUGUGUUAAAACUCACCUGCCGAAUACUAGGGCCCCGAAAAUGAAUGGCGCAUAUAGUACUACCGAUCUCAGACAUCAGUUCUAUUGAACUGAGAGUAGGGGGAUGUGGACAUUUUUGUGAAGGUGCAAUGUGAGUUGGACUGGAAGAAUGUCUAUUACAGAUCCUAAUUGAAGUAGCGAUUAUCCAGGCUUGUAUCCUGGGGGCUGAUGAGGAGUAGGGUUUCUGGACAACUUAAACAGAUCCAGAGUUAGUCGAUCCUAAUCUCAAUAAUGGGAGAAAGGGAGUACAGUUGAUAUUCUGUAACUGACAACAGUUCGCGGCAACGCAUACUAUUUUUCUCCGCCAAUCUUAUACCGUUGGUAGGGAUCUCUUUCCUACAUGACAGUACUAAUACCCAGGGAAACUGGUCAUCAGGCGAACUGCGGCGUUCUGCUGGCAAAACAUAGCUUCGGUUAUGUCAAUGGCUAUUGGAUUGGUCCAUGAAGCGAAAAAUAGUUUACUGUGUCACUCGUACCGAUAACCGCAUCAGGUCUUCUAGGUAAGUAGCCUAUGGCCAUUGAGGCAUGAUAGUUCAGGGAAUUCGGCCAAUUAGAGCUGUAACUUCGGGAUAAAGCUUGGCUCUGAUGAAAAUCAGAACCGAUUGUUACGCGGAGAGCCCAACUGUUUAAUAAAAACGUAGUGUCGCGCUGUGGUAGUAUAGCCAGUGAACGCGACAUGAAUCCUGCUCAGUGCUGUGUCUGUUAAUAUGGUUCAAGCCAACGAAGCACCGGUAAAUAGCUGGGGUAACUAUGACUCUUAUCAAAGUAGCGAAAUACCUCGUCACUUAAUUAGUGACCUGCAUGAACGGAGCUAUGAGGUUCUCACUGUCCCAAACUGUCUCUCAGCGAACCAACUGUAGUGGGAACGGUCACUAGAUAUCCAGCGGGGAAAGAAGACCCUGUAGAGCUUCACUUUGGUCUAGUCUUGUAUAGUUCCUGCGGGGGUGUAGACUAGGUGGGAGAGCAAUCGA
rnacentral:ncRNA from 2 species